CCUAGAGUUCUGGGCCGCACGCGCGUUACACUGACGGGGCCAGCGAGUCCUUCCUUGACCGAAAGGUCCGGGUAAUCUUGUGAAACCCCGUCGUGCUGGGGAUAGAGCAUUGCAAUUAUUGCUCUUCAACGAGGAAUCCCUAGUAAGCGCAAGUCAUCAGCUUGCGUUGAUUACGUCCCUGCCCUUUGUACACACCGCCCGUCGCUACUACCGAUUGAAUGGCUCAGUGAGGCUUUCGGACUGGCCCGGAAUGGGGGGCGACCCCCGUCCUGGGCCGGAAAGUUAUCCGAACUCGGUCAUUUAGAGGAAGUAAAAGUCGUAACAAGGUCUCCGUUGGUGAACCAGCGGAGGGAUCAUUACCGAGUACUAUAACUCAUAACCCUUUGUGAACCUUUAUACCUGUUGCUUCGGCGGCGCGCCUCCCGGGGCGUGCCCGCCGGUAUCAUCAGAAUCUCUGUUCGAACCCGACGAUAUUUCUGAGUGUUCUAAGCGAACUGUUAAAACUUUCAACAACGGAUCUCUUGGCUCCAGCAUCGAUGAAGAACGCAGCGAAACGCGAUAUGUAAUGUGAAUUGCAGAAUUCAGUGAAUCAUCGAAUCUUUGAACGCACAUGGCGCCUUCCAGUAUCCUGGGAGGCAUGCCUGUCCGAGCGUCGUUUCAACCCUCGAGCCCCCGUGGCCCGGCGUUGGGGAUCUGCCCAGGCAGUCCCCGAAAACCAGUGGCGGACCCGUUACAGGCCCUUCCCUUGCGUAGUAACAUUCGCCUCCAUCGGGAGCCGG
rnacentral:rRNA from 1 species